AAAUGAUGAAAUUGUCGAUCACCUAUCAGGGUAUUUAUUUCCUUAUCCAUAACUACAACUUCACAGUAAGUUUUUGUAAAUUUGGAUGGUGUAAUAUUGGAAGGUUGAAUAUUACCCCUUUUAUGAUGUAAUUUUAUCUCAAAUUAGAAUAAAAAAGUGACAUUACACCAGAAAAGUGGUAAAAUUACACAUUUUCAGAGGUAAAAUAACACAGUUUUCUCGCAUAAAAGAUGUACCCCUUCGCAGAUGUAAUUUUACCAUGAAUUUAUUACAAUGGACUCUCUCGUUAUCAAUUUUGAAGGGACCGUCGAGACCACAACUAUUUACCGAGUUGGAUAAAUACAUCAAAUUCCAACCAAAACAAUAUCGAAAAGUAUUACGUUAAGGGUGCACAGCAACCAAGGAAGUUUUUGUCUUCUUAUUCCUAAAUUGACAAACUUACAGACCCAAUCCUGUAACAAUCCGAUUGUAAAAAUAGGCAAAUUAUGUUGUAAAUCGCUUAGAAGACAGUACUAUAGGAGGUGAAUAAAAAAAAUAUAUCGAUAGUUUCCGUAGUUUCGAACUACUAAAAUAUUUAUAACAAAAAUCUUGGUGUAAAAGCUCUGGUUGAUGACUUUUCAGCACUCAAAUGGAUGCUGAAAAGUACUUUCCAGAUUUAUUAUUUUUGGUACCAUAUGCCGUUUUGUCAUUCGAGAACGACAGAAAAGGUAAGUAGUUUCACAACGGAAUUGCAAAAAAUGUAUUUUCCUCGCUCAAAUGCCACACAACGCUAUUUUUUUAAUUUUUACGAAUUCUCUAACUUUUUUCCUUAUUCUCUGCCAUGAUGUUCCCUACAUUAUUUUACGCCAGAAUAAAUUUUAAACAAAUCCAAGUGUGAGUAUGUAAAGAGAUAAAACUCGUUGUAAUUUACAAUUUGCGACAUUGAAUAUUAACGUUAAAAGUUGAUAGCCGGAAAGACAAUGAUAGGCUGAUGAUUUUUUUGGCAAAAUAAUAAAUACCAAUUAAAUACAAACAGAAUGAUAUGGAAUAAUACUAAGCUUGGUAGAGAAGUAUUCAAAGUACCUCAAGAAAAAAAAUUCAACAGUGUUACGCGUGGAAAAGCGCUAAACGCACCUCACGUCUUUACCGGCGCAUACCCGUUGGCAAUCGUGUUGUCAGAAGAUACUGACAUUUAAUCGAAAGUCAUCUCGCGAUGGCUCUUUGCCGGUGAUCAACCAGAGUCACGAGUAGAAGUGCACUUUGUGCACGAACAAAUAUAUUUCGCGAUUAAUUUUAGUGAAUACUGAAUUUAAGUCCCAUCUGGAUACCCCGUGAAGCAGUACAUUUCUUACAAUGCAAGUCUAACCUAGAAUCAUUUAGAUUUGCCAUCAUCAUGCAUGUGCUCAUGCAGCUCCCAAAUCGUCUUUUUGGAAAAAAAAGAACAUUUUUUGUAUCGAGUUACUAAACGCAAUUUGUAACUAGCCGUUUAAAACCAGCUCAAAUCGCCAAAUACAAACCUAGUUAAGCAAAAACUGAGCGUAUUUCUUCGGUGGUUACAAAUACGGAAAAAUCCUCGAUCUUGUUGCCAGCAAGGGCAACAAAAAGGUUUUGAAAAAUGUCAAAAGUUAGUUAACUAUAAUUAUGAAUACAUUGAUGAAUGGGAUUGUUAAAAUACUUUCAUAAUGUCAUGCUUUUCUUAUUGGCAAUUUGUUCGAAUUGGAAAACGGACCGAUUACCGGAUUCUUUAGACAAUUUUACACAAAGAACAGCUGAAAAAGUUUCUAGGUCACAAGUUUUAAGUUUCAAAAGAAACAGAAAUCAAAAAUCUUCAGAUUUAUAAGCAUUUCCAGUGGAACAAUUUUCUAAGUAAAAUUAGCAAAAUUAUGAAUCAUCCUGCAAAAAUGGGUUGUUUGCAACAAAAAUUAAUAUUUGAAUCAAAAAUUCAAUUUUUAAUCAAUUUUGAUCAAACUUGUAACUUUGUAUUUAACUAUCCUCAAAUUUAGUUUAUUGUUUUUAUUUUCAAAUGAAGCAUUAAAAGAAACCUUACUAGUGAUCAAUUUGACGGAAUUAAUUCAAUUUGCGCACUAUUAGCCAAAAAUUUGUUUUUGAAAUACCAAUUUUCAACGAAAAUAUUUUAGAAAGCACAAUUGAAAAAAAACCUACAUGGAUAUUGAGUUGCCUAACCCAGCCCAGUACAUGUUUUAAAAAUAUAAAUCUUGAGACAAGUCUUACUUUUUUAAUAACAUUUCAAAAAUAAAUCGAAAUCCUGUCAAUGUCACCCUGGUUUAAGCAAUAUUGGAAUGUUGGAUAUUUUUGGUUUUUCUGAAAGAGCCCAAGAUUUCGAACCAAACUGCAUCAAUAACCCAUUUAUUCAUGCAAACAGAAACAGUAGACCGUAUAAGCAAAUUUUUGGGCAUAAAGUCGCAGUCGCAAAAAAAUAUUUUCAAUAUUGUAAGGCCGUUAAAGUUUUUUCGAAAAAAAAAGUUUUCAUGAGUUUUUUGAAAAGUAUACGCAAACUAGGGCAGCGAAUGACCAAGAAGGUUAAAGCUGCCAGAAAUAAAUGAAUUAACAACAACAACAACAUACGUCAAACUAAACUUAAAAAUGAUAAAAAGUCAGAAUCGUCCAAAAAUUACAUGGGACAAUUAUGCGUAGAACGGCAGACUGCCGUGUAGUCCUCAUCUAUCCUUUGCCGAAGACACCAAAUCGAUCCUAAAAUUCCUUCAAAAGAUACAGAUUUUUUAAUUUUCACAUACUUUUUUUAAUAGACUGCUAUUACAUUUGUAUGGAAUUAUUAUGAACAAACUGGUGAUUCAAAAUAGCUUCUUAGUACAUACGGAAGGCACUUAAAAAGUUUCAGCCAGAUUUAAAAAAAAAAACAAAAAUUUAAUUUAAAACAAGCCUAUUUCAUAAAGAAUUGCAUAAAGGGACUUUUGUCCCUUUUAUAUUAACGUCAACUUGUUGCAUUUUUUCCUUCCUCACCUUACUGAAAAUAGGCAAAAAAAAAAUCACUCGAAAAAUGAUAUUCGACUCAGAAUCAAAUUCUGAGCAAGUGUAUGUGUGCCCACCACACACUGAUCAAAAAAUUUUGCACUGGAUUAUCUCGGCACGGGCUCAACCGAUUUUGUCUGUUUUGGUCUCUUUCGAUCCGUCUUAUGGUCCCAUAAGCCGCUAUUGAAAAUUAUAAAGUUUAGUUAAGUACUUCAAAAGUCAAAAAAAACGAUUUUACCAAAAGUC